AAGUGUGUGUGUGUGGGGGGGGGGGCGGGGGCGGGGCUCCUGCCAGGCUGGGAAGCGAUCCCUGUCACUCACAUGGGCCUCAUGGUGAGGGGCUUGGCUUAGAAGCAGUCUCCUUUUUGGGGAAAAUAAAAAGAGGUACAGAGAUGGAGAGAGAGAGAGAGAGAGAGAGAAGAGAUCUUUCAUGGCUGGUUCUUUCCCUGGAUGGCCACAGCGGUCAGCGCUGGGUCAGGCUGAAGCCAGGAGCCAGGAGCUUCUUCCGGGUCUCCCAUGUGGGUGCAGGGGCCCGAGCACUUGGCCCAUCCUCCGCUGCUUUCCCAGGUGCAUUAGCAGGGAGCUGGAACAAAGUGGAGCAGCUGGGACUCGAACCAGCGCUCACGCAGGAGGCCGGCGUCCCGGGAGGCGGCUUUCCCCGCUGCGCCACCCCAGCAGCCUCCUUCUUCUUUCUUUUCUUCCUGAUUUUAUUCAUACAGGAGAACUCUCCUCGUGUUGUGUCACCUCCAGAAGCUCAAAAACGUGCACCAGACAAACCAUUCUCCAAGAUCUGCUCUGUUUCAAGGGACCAGGCCUGGGGCCAGAUGAAAGAAGCAGAGAAAAGGAAUUCACGCCCUGGGAAAAGCGAGGCAACAAGAAACCAGAUGUUCCGCCAGCUGUCUGGGCUGCAGCCUGCGAGCCAGCUCCGGUACAGGGAGGCACUGCCGCGUGGCUCGCUUGUUUGCACAGGUGACGCCGAGGGGACCCAGUUCCUGCACUCGAGCUCCGAGCUCCUGACCCUCGCCCUGUGUGACCUUGAGGGCCUGGCAGUCACCUUAGGUCAGGCGAGGACACGGAAUUCGGCAGUUAGACAAGGGAGGGCGCUGUGUUUACCCUUCCGCCAGGAGAAGAUGGGGGGUCCAGGCUCCAACCGGGGGAGGGGGCGCAGCUCCCACCAGGGGACCGUGCCUGCAGCCUUCUUCAGGUUCUAAAAGGGCACCGUGGCUCACUUGGCUAAUCCUCCGCCUGUGGUGCCGGCAUCCCCUAUGGGCACCGGUUCUAGUCCCCGUUGCUCCUCUUCCAGGCCAGCUCUCUGCUGUGGCCCGGGAGGGCAGUGGAGGAUGGCCCAAGUGCUUGGGCCCUGUACCCCAUGGGAGACCGGGAAGAAGCUCCUGGCUCCUGGCUUCGGAUUGGCACAGCGCCGGCCAUAACAGCCAUUUGGGGAGUGAACCAAUGGAAGGAAGACCUUUCUCUCUCUCUCACUGUCCACUCUGCCUGUCAAAAAAUAAAUAAAAAAUAAAAAUAAAAGGGCA
rnacentral:lncRNA from 1 species